rnacentral:lncRNA from 1 species
UUAAAGGUUUGUUUUAAAGUUUUCUGAAAUAAUGUAAAAAACAGCAUGAAUUUAGUCUUUUUACAUUUAAAAACUGAGCUUUUGCAUUUUUUUUAAUUAUAUCAUGACAUUUGACAGGGGGUUUCUAAUAGAAUGUUCUGUUCCACCCUAAAAAGUGAAGACUGAUUUACUGAAGACAAGGAAGUGUAUUUGAGAAAGUCUCUUUUUGAUGGAGUUCAAAGCUUAAUUAGGUGGAUCAGCUUUAAACUUUGAAGCCUUAGAGGGUUAAACCUUUACACAUUUAACCCUGCCUGUGUUUGAUUCUUUUUAGUAUCAAAUGGUUUUGUUUUUUCCAUUCUGACAGGGAAAUGACGGCGAGCGAGGUCAGAAAGGUUCACCUGGAUUGAAUGGAGAGCCUGGAAUAACAGGUAGAGAUGGUGAUCCUGGUGCUAGAGGGCCUCCAGUAUGUUGUUUUUUUUAUUCUUUUUUAUUUUAAUAUUCUAUUAAAACUCUGGUUUGAGAUGUUCCUGAACUAUAAUAAUCAAUAUAUUCUAUUUGCACUUUAGGGAGACACAGGGAAAUCAAUAUUUGGUCUGAAAGGUGAUGAGGGGAUCAUAGGAGAGCAGGGCCCUCCAGGUCCUUAUGAAGUGAUUGAGCCACCAGAAGAUUACUACCAGAAAGGAGACAAGGGGAGAAAAGGAGUUAAAGGACAGUGUGGACCUACUGGUUUUAAAGGAGAAAUUGGACCUCCUGGGGAGAAGGGAGAAAAAGGAAUCCCGGGUUUCCCAGGAAUCAGAGUAAGUCUGAGUUUUAUUAUCCAAACGGUAUACACAGUACACAGUUCUUAUAAUGUAGUUAAAUUUAUUUUGUAUCUGUAUUUCAUUAAUCACACUAUAUAUGUAUACUAAGGGAGCCCCUGGAUACCCUGGACUACCUGGCAUACAAGGACGUGAGGUACAAAUAUGUUUGUGUGUGUGUGUGUGUGUGUGUGUGCGUGUGUAAUUAUGCAGAGUUAACCUUCUGCUUGUUCUUACAGGGUGGACGUGGUAGCGAUGGUCUCCCUGGUCUUAUUGGCAACAAAGGACAAAAGGUUUUUAGAAUAUGUUCCCUGAUUUUCCUUUAAGUUUAAAGUUCCCUGAGCCCCGUCACAUUCAGCCCCGUCACAUUCAGCCCCGUCAUAUUCAGCCCCGUCACAUUCAGCCCCAUUAUAAUCA